UAAAAAUUGGUGAAAAUAAAAAUCAGAUAGAAAACUGUAAUAAAUUAAACCGUGAAAUAUUGUAAAAAAAACGUGAGGAAAAAUAGAUAGCAGAUUAGCAGGUUCCCUUAAAUCGAAGGUUCCAGGUUGGGGCACACGAAAUACACACAGAAGUGUCCACAACCCCGCGUGUCCGCCACGUGCGGCUUAAGCUGAUCGACGAUCCCAAAAGCGGUUCCUUCACCAUUCCGCUGAACACUUCUUUGAGCGCCGAACACUGCCUUAGGCGCGGAAAUCCGACGUUGGCACGGUCGGAACCUUCGGUGACGCGGUCUACGAACUACAACCCGUGUCUUCGUCUACGAAUCGAGCACUGCCAGCAUAGAUAUUACGACCAAGUGCACAACACCAUCGGCGAACCCCUCCGUUGCAAGAGGUGGAGUCAUCUAUCAUCCAGUACCGUUAUUCAUGCGCAUCGAUAGCUGGACAACAUGGUUCAUCCGCACCCCACCGACCCCAUGAACCACCACCGUGGUGAGUCGAAGGCCGAAUAGCGAACGGCAUGGUUAGUUAGAGGAAGAAGAGAAUUCGGGAAGCCGAGCUUAAGGCGCAAGAGUAGGCAGAUUCAUGAGAGAUUAAAAUGGGAAUCGAUCAUAUCUAAUAGCGAAUUCAUAAAUUAACCUGGGUUCGUGCUAACUCGAACCAGAAAUUUAUGAACGAUACGAGCAGUUUGACAGAUCGACCCGUAAACCGUAAUAAGGUUUUGCACGGGCGAGCAUAACCUCGCUUUUUUGACGUCUAUCAGUGGUUUGUUUACAUCGACUUAGAACGCGGGUUAAAAUGAUUAAAGUGAAUAUUGUUAAAGGCGUCUGCGGCAGGCCAGAAAAGCACAAAAACUGCUAUUCCGAGUAGUUUAGAGGGCGACACUGCUGGACAAUACGCUUUUAAAACGUUUAACUUUAGUUUAUGCAUAUUGUGUUUGCCUAACAAAUAGUAAACAAACCACGAGUGGAUGUCAAAUGGAUGAAUUGCGUUCAUUCGUGACGUCACCUUGCAAAACCUUAUGCUAGACAGUUUUAACCUGCGCUUCAAACUGAAUGCUGUCAGUUUAACCGAGAUGCAAUCUCGGUUAAUUAAUGAACGCUUUGACAGCACUUCGAUUAAAACUGAGUGCUAAUCGACCUGAGCCAGGUUAAUUUAUGAAUUCGCUAUAAGCUUCGUGUUAAUAACUUCGCGUUCCUUAUAUUUGCAUAUGUUUUUCCGAGU